rnacentral:rRNA from 1 species
UACGUAGGGUGCAAGCGUUAAUCGGAAUUACUGGGCGUAAAGCGUGCGCAGGCGGUCGGGCAAGACCGAUGUGAAAUCCCCGGGCUUAACCUGGGAAUGGCAUUGGUGACUGCACGGCUAGAGUGUGUCAGAGGGGGGUAGAAUUCCACGUGUAGCAGUGAAAUGCGUAGAGAUGUGGAGGAAUACCGAUGGCGAAGGCAGCCCCCUGGGAUAACACUGACGCUCAUGCACGAAAGCGUGGGGAGCAAACAGG